UAUAUAAAUAGACUGGUUUAUGAUUUUUUCACAUGCAACUUAUGGUAGAGGUGGGUAAAAAUAGAUGGCGCAACAGACGUCGUUGUACCGCAAGACGUUGCAUAUUCGGUCCAAACCACGCACUCCGCCAACCAAUUAGGUUUCCAACCUGUAUAACUUAUAGUCGUCACCACGAAAACUGGCUUGUUAGUACCGGGACCACGGCUGAAGAUUUUUGAUUUCUAUAGCCGUGACCGCAACUCACGCCACAUACCCAACACAUUAGUCACGGAUUAUCAAACUAAACCGGUUAUUGUAACCCGAGCUACCGUAUCGAUGUGUCACGUUUGAAAACGUGGAAUAUCUAUUGUCUGAAACCACCAAAGAUAACAUAAUUAUUUAUAAUUAUCUGUAGUUAAAGUUAAGGAUAUUGAAAACAGUGCCUCCG